rnacentral:tRNA from 1 species
AUCUGACUGGCCUACUCAGUAAAGCAUGUGACUCUCAAUCUCAGGGUUGUGAGUUCAAGCCUCAUGUUGUGUG